rnacentral:rRNA from 1 species
ACGCCUUAACAUGCAAGUCGAACGCAGUAGCAAUACUGAGUGGCAGACGGGUGAGUAUGAUGUGGGAAUCUGCCUUUUGGUUUGGAAUAACUCGGGGAAACUUGAGCUAAUACCGGAUAAGCCCUUACGGGGAAAGCUUUAUGCGCCGAAAGAUGAGCCCGCACUUGAUUAGCUAGUUGGUGAGGUAAAUGCUCACCAAGGCAACGAUCAAUAGCUGUUCUUAGAGGAAGACCAGCCACAUUGGGACUGAGACACGGCCCAGACUCCUACGGGAGGCAGCAGUAAGGAAUCUUGCACAAUGGGGGAAACCCUGAUGCAGCGAUGCCGCGUGAGUGAAGAAGGCCUUUGGGUUGUAAAACUCUUUCGUCGGGGAAGAAAAUGACUGUACCCGAAUAAGAAGGUCCGGCUAA